rnacentral:misc_RNA from 1 species
GAUGAAGAACGUAGCGAAAUGCGAUAAGUAAUGUGAAUUGCAGAAUUCAGUGAAUCAUCGAAUCUUUGAACGCACAUUGCGCCCGUCAGUAUUCUGGCGGGCAUGCCUGUUCGAGCGUCAUUACGCCCCUCAAGUCCCCUGUGGACUUGGUGUUGGGGAUCGGCGAGGCUGGUUUUCCAGCACAGCCGUCCCUUAAAUUAAUUGGCGGUCUCGCCGUGGCCCUCCUCUGCGCAGUAGUAAAACACUCGCAACAGGAGCCCGGCGCGGUCCACUGCCGUAAAACCCCCCAACUUUUUAUAGUUGACCUCGAAUCAGGUAGGACUACCCGCUGAACUUAAGCAUAUCAUAACGGAGA